AGACCCGAAACCCGGUGAUCUAGCCAUGGGCAGGUUGAAGGUUGGGUAACACUAACUGGAGGACCGAACCGACUAAUGUUGAAAAAUUAGCGGAUGACCUGUGGCUGGGGGUGAAAGGCCAAUCAAACCGGGAGAUAGCUGGUUCUCCCCGAAAGCUAUUUAGGUAGCGCCUCGUGAAUUCAUCUCCGGGGGUAGAGCACUGUUUCGGCUAGGGGGCCAUCCCGGCUUACCAACCCGAUGCAAACUGCGAAUACCGGAGAAUGUUAUCACGGGAGACACACGGCGGGUGCUAACGUCCGUCGUGAAGAGGGAAACAACCCAGACCGCCAGCUAAGGUCCCAAAGUCAUGGUUAAGUGGGAAACGAUGUGGGAAGGCCCAGACAGCCAGGAUGUUGGCUUAGAAGCAGCCAUCAUUUAAAGAAAGCGUAAUAGCUCACUGGUCGAGUCGGCCUGCGCGGAAGAUGUAACGGGGCUAAACCAUGCACCGAAGCUGCGGCAGCGAACGUAUCACCCAAGACAACUUUACGGAGUUGACGAUUGACGGAGCGAAGCGACGUCAAAGCGUUCAUUAAAGUCGAGUUGGCUUAGGGGUACGUUCGUUGGGUAGGGGAGCGUUCUGUAAGCCUGUGAAGGUGUGUCGUGAGGCAUGCUGGAGGUAUCAGAAGUGCGAAUGCUGACAUAAGUAACGAUAAAGCGGGUGAAAAGCCCGCUCGCCGGAAGACCAAGGGUUCCUGUCCAACGUUAAUCGGGG
rnacentral:rRNA from 1 species